UCUAAAACCCUUCAGCACAGACCGGUCACAUGUGGGCUAGAUCAGGGGUCCCCAUCUACCGGGUCCGAUACCGGUCCGUGGAUCAUUUUGUACCGGGCCGCAAAGAAUAAUAAUCGUGAUUAAAAUAUAUAUAAAAAUAUGUUUUUGCUUCCGGGUGUCUUAUUUUGAAAGACAACCACUUCCGCCCUCGCCUCACUUCCGCACUUGACUCUUUGGUGCGUAUUUAUCCUGCGUCAGCAAUGCAAGCUAGCCCUCGCAAAAUGAGCCAGAAACAGAGUUCACUGGAGAGUUUCUUUGGAAAGAGUAAACGAGACAACAGAGACAGCAGAAGGGUCACAGACUGCCUGCAAAAACAAAGCUGCGUUUAAAAUAAAAUACCAAGAUUCCUACCUCAGUUACGGGUUCAUCGCAACAGGUGAUUCACAAGCCCCACACCCACUCUGUGGAAUAUGCGGUGACAGACUUGCUAAUGAAGCCAUGAAACCAUCAAAACUGCGCCGCCACCCGGAGACAAAACACCCAGUAUUGAAAGAAAAGCCCUUAGAAUAUUUUGAAAGAAAAAAACGGGAACACGAAGGACAGAAACAAUUAUUGAAGGCCACUACUUCAACACGUGUCCGCGCUAAAAGCAUCAUUCCUAGUCGCGGACGGCAUUGCUAAAGCUAAGAAGCCCUUUACUAUUGGGGAAGAAUUGAUUUGGCCUGCUACGAAGGACAUUUGCUGCGAACUUUUCGGAGAGGCUGCAGUAAAAAAGGUUGAAAACAUCCCCCUUUCGGCGAGCACCGUAACAAGAAGAAUUAAUGAAAUAGCAGAGGACGUCGAGGCACAGUUAGUUGAGAGGAUUAAUGAGUCACCAUGGUACGCGAUUCAGGUGGAUGAAUCUACAGAUGUUGACAACAAAGCAAUAUUGCUCGUUUCUGUGAGAUACGUUUUUCAGGAGGAUGUACAUGAGGAUUUGCUAUGUGCACUAUUUCUGCCAACUACACCACACCUGCAGGGAUAUUCAAGUCCUUGAACGAGUACAUAUCAGGGAGGCUUAACUGGUCGCACUGUGUCGGUGUCUGCACGGACUGGGCGGCUUUCAGGUCUGACAACGUGGAUCAAGGAGGUCGCCUCUGAAUGUGAGUCCACACACUGUCAUCCAUAGAGAAAUGCUGGCAAGCCGAAACAAUGCCACCUGAGCUUAACAGCGUUUUGCAAGAUGUGAUAAAAAAUUAUUAACCACAUACAAGUACAUGCCCUGAAUUCACGUCAGUUCGAAAAGCUCUGUGAAGAGAUGGAUGCAGAACAUAGACGCCUUCUCUUGUACACAGAAGUGAGAUGGCUUUCAAGAGGUAAAUCACUGGCAAGUUUUUGAGUUAAGAGAGUCACUGCAGAGAUUUUUCUUGGAAAAACAGUCACCACUGGCAGCAUACUUCAGUGACGCUGAUUGGAUCUCGAAACUUGCUUACCUGUGUGACAUUUUUAACCUGCUCAAUGAACUCAAUCUCUCACUUCAGGGGAAAAUGACAACCAUUUUCAAGUUGGCAGAUAAAGUUGCAGCAUUCAAAGCCAAACUGGAGUUAUGGAGACCGACAGUGAACACAGGGAUAUCUGACAUGUUUCACAUAGUAGCAGGGAUUAUGGAAGAGACUGAGUUUGGACCUUCAUUGACCCAGUUAGUGCAUGAUCACCUGUUGCAGCUUUCAAGAGUUUGAGCAUUACUUCCCGCAAAAGACCCCAGGCUGGGGAAGGAAUGGAUCUGGAACCCAUUUGUGAACAAGCCAGGGGAAUCAACUUUAACCCUACAAGAAGAGGAACAACUAGUUGAGAUUGCAAAUGAUGGUGGCCUUCAAUCCAUGUUUGAAACAACUUCAAAUCUCUUUGCAUUCUGGAGUAAAGUCAAAGCAGAACAUCUUGACAUUGCCACAAAAGCACCGAAAGUCCUGCUUCCAUUUUCAACCUCUUAUCUUUGUGAGGCAGGGUUUUCUGCAGUGACGGCAACAAAAACAAGACUACGGAGUAGACUGGAUGUAAGGAAUACAAUUCGAGUGUCACUGUCUCCCAUCACCCCCAGAUGGGACCAUCUAGUUGCAGGAAAACAAGCCCAGCACUCCCCCUGAGUCUACAUUUUGUUGCCUGCUAAUCUUGAUUUGGAAGUAGAGGCUCAAGGAAAUGGACAAGGAAUACUAGAGUACAGGGAAAGACGACCACGGGUUGUGACCUAUUACAAUCAGCUGCAUGAGGUGGAAGAGAAAAUGCCCUGCAAGCACUUUGAUCUCAACGUCACUUUUGAAGGAUCCAGCGGUAGAUCAAAUUCUCACACUAUAUCACAUAUUUUACACGACGUCCUUCAGACGGGUGACAAAUUAAAGCAAAUGCACUUUAACAAAAAAAAAAAAAAACAAAGCAUUUUGACUGCUGACCUGAGUAAAUUUAGUAAAUUGAAUUUAUAAAACACUCGCGUACAAUCUCUUAAAAUACAUACGUUUUGCAUACAUCACAAUGCAAGGACUGUGUGUGCUCAUCUUCAGGGACUUUUUGUUCGUAUUAUUUUUGUUAAGAUCAAAUGAAUACAUUAUUGUUAAGAUCAAAAUAACACGUUGGAGCAUAAUUACAUCAAAUACACUAUUACAUACGCUCUAGCCCACCAUAUAAUAUAUACAGCUGUACAUUAAUUAAUGCUUUGCUGCUGUCCCGGACCAGAAAAGCCUCCAGCAGAUGUAGAAAAGUCAGACAAGAUCAAGUAGUUGUUGUUGUUGUUAUACGUGUACACGACUGUGCAAAAUGUUAGAUCGGCAGCAAUAUCGACUACCUUAUUACAAAUUGCAGGGCACAGUUUCACAGCUUUGGGUAGUUCAAAAUAUCUUGUGCCAGUUCCUCUGUGGACUGACACUCUGUACAUUAUCUGAUAGGUACUUUAUUCAUUCCCUUAGGGAGAUUCAAGGUAUGCAUGAGCUCACGUGUUACAUAGAAGAUAGAGGGCCACUGUGCGAAUGAGCAUGCAACAGACAUCCCAAAUCUGCCUAAAAUGCUGGUAUUUACAGAGGUGAGCUUAAAAAACUGUUAAUAUUUACAAUAAAGUGCAAAUCGGUGUUAUUUGCAAUAAAAAUAGAGCAUGAUAAGAGUUCAUAAUACAAUAAAUAUAGCAUUUGAAGUACAAACGAUGUCAGAGCUCUGUGGAAGAACAUCUGUUGGUCUGCAGAUGCAGGUACAUCUGUUAGUCUGCUGCUGCAGGUAGUUCUUCAUGGAUUCUUGGUGUGCCUCAGUAAAGACCGAUUCCUCUGGUUUUUCUUUCAGACUCAUUUUAAAAUGCUGCUGCUCACAUGCUCAAAGACUUUAAUCUGAUCAGUGACUGAUUGUACGUUAUGCCUUUACAUGAACAAUGUGACAGCAGCUGAUUAUAGUCGUAUAGUCAUCGUGCCCUUUGUCAGUGCUGUUCUUUUUCUCAUUCACAGCAGGGCUCUAGGACCCGGAGACGUCAGGAUGGUGGUUCUUGAUAUCAGUCUACCAACUGGAUUCACCCCAGAAAACUCUGACCUGGAGAUGUGUCCCUGAUCCCAGAGCUGGAUGCUUCAGAUCUGUGGUGGUUCUCCCACCAACUGGCCUAAUCUCCAUCUGUGGGAUGCUGCUGCUGCUGACCUUCCUCCAGCCCACUGCUUCCAGCUGCCCAUUUCCAUCAAUCUACUCUGCAUCACCCUCACUAUACUUGAUUUGCUCGUCUACAUAUUUUUGAAUUUACCACCAGCUAUAUAUGUAGUAUAUUUAAUGCCAGAGCCAUACACCGUAGCAGUAAACUAUAAUCAGUUUCCAGCCCAGAGGGAUAUAUGCGCAGAUUUUUUUUAAAUACCAUGUAGAAGACUAUAUACAGGAAGAUGAGGUAUCAGUUCUUGCACAUAGAUAUACAACAGUCCUUUAUUACUCCCCAGGUUAGGGGAAAUUUCCAGUGUUAGAGCAGCAAAAAUCUUUCAGAGCAGCACUAACUACAGUUUACUACAGUAAAGAUAAUAAUUAUAAUAACAAUAAUAUAUACAAGAAUGAAAAAUGAAUAAAUACAGUAUUACUACACUAUAAGUGACAUCAGCAUAAAGUGGCUUGUGGAAUACAUGUAAUUGUAAAAGUGCAGAAAAUGCCAGCAGUGCAAGGAGUUGUGGAGAUUUUCUCAAAACAGGUGAGUCCUGUGAAUAUGACCAAAAUAUGAGAUAAAACUACCAGAAACAUGUACAAAAUGACCAAAAUAUGAUUGGUUGAUAAUGUAUCAGUGUUGUUAUUGAUUAUUGAUCGGUUGCAGGGACAGAGAUUUGUGUCUGAGUCUCUGCUGUCAUCUAAUCUCUCUCAUGUAAGAUCAUGUCACAGGAGGGGGCGCUACUGUCCUCUUGUGGACACAGGCGGUAACGACACGACAUUAUUAUUAACUGUAUAGCUGGCGACAUUACAGAUGAGCAGCACUUCCUGUUAAUCUUCAACGUAAAAGCAUCUUUCUUUAUUGUACAUUUUAUGUCAAAAGUAUUACUAAGCGAUUUUGGUCGAUUCAGAAGGAUCUCUGGUGUAAACCAAGUCGUAUUUGACGACAGCUAGCUUCUCCACUUGCUCCAAUUACUUUUGUUGUAGUCCGAGUCACGUCCAAACAGGAAAUGAAUCCACAAUGUAGCUAAUGACAAUCUAUAGCUGCAUCUCCGUGAUGGCAGCGUUAGCGAGCUAGCAGCUAAUCAGAAGCUAGUGACAAGCUAACUCCAGCGCUACAAGCAGCGUCUCUUUAAAAGGUGCUGAUCACGAUAUCAGGCUGAAACGUGAGACCUGGGACAGGAAAAGGAGCUAGAGCGCUGUGUCUUGCAGAGGAUUUAUUUUAGAACUACGCAUGUUAAGGUAUUAGUCCGUGUCAUAGCAAACCCUCGUUAGCACUUCCGCUAGCUCGGCUAACACUUCCGGUCACGAAUGCAUUUGUACAUUAGCUAUAACGUGUUCAUUUUUGAACGUAUAGUGGCAACAAACACAAUUUGAGACUGUCGACAAGCUAGUGGUCCUCAAAUAGAUUUUGUUUCAUACUGCAGAUUCUUCUGAGUCUCACAAAACCACGUUUUAGCAUAAUAGCAUUACGAUAGUUUUACGUUGAAACAGGAAGUGCUGCUUCUCUGUAAUGUCGCCAGCUUUGCCUCAAAUAAUAAUAGUGUCGUUACCGGCUGUGUCCGCCAGAGGGCAGUAAUGUGUACAGUAAAGAUUUAGUGACUUUAGGGGUCAUUUUGAAUGUUUUUAUGGCUAUUUUUGCUUCAGUUUGUUCAUGUUUUGUCUCAUAUUGUGACUUUAGGGGUCCUUUUGCAUGUUUUUAUGGUUAUUUUUGCUUCAGUUUGUUCAUUUUGUGCCUCGUAUUGUGACUUUAGGGGUCAAUUUGCAUGUUUUUAUGGAUAUUUUUGAUUCAGUUUGUUCAUUUUUUGUCUCAUAUUAUUACUUUAGUGACUUUAGGGGUCAUUUUGCAUGUUUUUAUGGCUAUUUUUGAUUCAGAAUGUUUAUUUUUGGUCUCACAUUGUUACUUUAGGGGUCAUCUUGCAUGUUUUAAUGGCUAUUUUAUUAUUCAGUUUGUUCAUUUUUUGUCUCAUAUUAUUAUCAUAGCAGAGGCUCAUGGGUAAUGUGGUUCUGAGGCAGCCAGGAGCAGAGGCUCAUGGAUAACGUAGUCCUCUGUUUCCAGUCUUUAUGCUAAGCUAGGCUAACAGUUCUAACCUCUUUCCAGUCUUUAUGCUAAGCUAGGAUAGCUGUUUUCCUCUGUUUCCAGUCUUUAUGCUAAGCUAGGCUAACAGUUCUAACCUGUUUUGUCUUUCUGCUAACCUAGGCGUUUCAUGUGUUCCUCCAAGUCUCUGGAAAAGAUCAAAAUAUCAUCCAGAUAGACAAAAACAAAUCUCCCCAGCAUGUCGCGUAACACAUCAUUAGAUGUUGGAAAACUGCAGGUGCAUUAGUUAACCCAAAAGGCAUAACUAAAUACUCAAAAUAUCCCAAAGGAGUAUUAAAAGCAGUCUUCCACUCAUCCCCCUCCCGUAUUCUAAUUAAAUGAUAUGCAUUCCUCAAGUCCAACUUGUUGAAGAUUUGGGCACCCUGCAAAGAGGAAAACGCAGAGUUAAUCAGAGGCAGGGGAUAAGAGUUUUUAAUAGUAAUGUCAUUAAGGCUUCUAAAAUCAAUACAUGGCCGAAGGGUCUUGUCUUUCUUGUCCACGAAAAAGAAUCCAGCUCCCAAAGGUGAAGAAGAAUCGAAUUUUGCCUGCUGCCAGAGAGUCACGGAUAUAAUUUUCCAUAGCCGUUCGUUCAGGUUUCGAUAAAUUAUACAGACGGCUAGAGGGAAGAGUAGCCCCCUGUCGCAACUCAAUGGCACAAUCGUAAGGCCUAUGAGGGGGAAGAGCUAAGGCACGAUCCUUGCUGAACACAGGAGCUAGGUCAUGAUAUUGGGCAGGUAUAAUGUCUAAAUUCACCUGAUCUGGAGGUGUAGAGGCUUCGACAGCCGCCGGAGUCAACGCAGACUGAAGGCAACACUGAUGACAGUCUGGACUCCAGGCAGAAAUCUCUCCUCCAGUCGAGCUGUGGGUUGUGACGUUUCAACCAAGGAAAACCUAACACUACAGGGGGAUCAGAAGAGUCAAUAACGUAGCACGAAACCUUUUCACAAUGGUUCCCAGCAAUAAUCAGAUAGGUGAAGUCUUACGAGUCACUUGAGCUAACUGUACUCCAUUUAAAGCUCGGGCAAUCAGAGGCUUAUCCAGAGGAAUGGACGGAAUUCCUAACUGCUGUACUAAGUUGCUGUCCAGAAAACACUCCUCAGCUCCAGAGUCCACCAGUGCAGGAACAGAUAAGGCCUCAGAAUUCCAGCACAAGGUGGCUGGAAGCUGCAGAUGUUGUGGAGAGGUAGUAGCGGUUUGGCUCACCAGAAUCCUCCCACUUACCAGGCAGCCGAACCGUUUGGCUGACGACCAGGGCAAACCGCGAUGAAGUGACCAGCCUUUCCACAAUACAAACAUAGACAAGAGGCUCUCCGGUGCUCCUUCUCCUCAAUGGAUAGCUUGGCCCGGCCCAGCUGCAUAGGCUCUGGUUCCGGCAAAGGCACCAGACCAUCCAGGACCUGGGGAACCGCAGAUAUAGUGGCAAGGGCUCCCGAGGCACGUGUCUUCCUCUCACAGGCGCUCUUGCAGAAGAUUAUCCAGGCAGAUAGCUAUAUCUAUACACUGGUCCAGGGUGGAAGCCUCUUCUCUCUCACGGCCAGCUCGUCCUUCAGGAUGUCCUGAAGGCCCCUGUAGUACGCCCCACGUAGCGCUUCGUCAUUCCACCGGUCUCGUUGGCCAGAGACCGGAAUUCCACCACAUGCUCCGCCACACAUCGAGAUCCUUGGGUGAGAAACGGCAAACGAUCUGAGGCAUCCCUGCCACGUAUAGGAUGGUCGAAUAAUUUCUUCAUCUCAGAAAUAAAGGCAUCAUAAGAGCUACUGAGGGGACCUUGUCGUUCCCAAACCCCGGUUCCCCAAACCCUAGCAGCACCAGACAAAAGACUAAUUAAAAAAGCUAUUUUAGCCUUGUCUGACCUGUAGGAGUGCGGUUGUAAACUAAACACCAAGGAAACCUGGGUCAAAAACACCUGACACGAUCCAAAAUCCCCACUAUAACAUUCUGGUAAUGGUACAUGUGUCUCUUUGUCAGGGAGAACAGGACUAACAGGAGUUGGAACCACAACCGGAGCAGGAGCAGAUGAACGGCUAGCCAAUUGUGUAACCCUUUCUGUUAACGUGGAGAGCUAGCGCGGUAUUUCUGCUCAUGAGGCUGCAAAGCAUUUCCUCAUGUUGCCCUAAGGCAGUGUUCUGAUUAGCUAUAGCUUGGUCUAUAGUAAUCACCGGCGUCCCUCCAGCGGCAGCUUCAUUUCCCGCUGAGCUUAUUCUGGCUGGACUGUACUGUUACAGCAGAUUCAAAAGGCUCAGGAGCAGGAAAUGAAACACCAGCGUGAACAUUUUAAAGAUGCUUUUAUUCACAACAAGAAACUCUAUACAGGAACCGGAACUAGAAUCUUAAACAAGAACUAAAUUACUACUAGAACUAAAAAACAAAAAACAUCUAGAGGUACAGAGGAAUAACUACAUGAACAUGGAAACUGAAAUUAAGGUUAACCCACAUAUGGUAACACCAAGGUAGGGAAACAACUGAAAAUACAGAACUAACCCAGCCUAGACUACCAGUAAUUAUGAACUGAAACCCCAGACUAAAGCUAUCCUAUGCAGAGCAUAAAAUACCUUAAGUUAAAUACGGAACGCUGAUUAUUUAAUACGACAUAUUAACAAUACAAAGAGUCUGGUGAUACUAGGGCUUGGAGACUUGGCUGAUGAGCUGAGAACAAUCCUUUUGGUUUGACUUCAUCUAGAACUCUCCCUCCCGGUGUUCACCAUGUGCUUGGUAAGUUGGUGUCAGUAGAACCCGGUCGUGGCAGAUGUUUCCAGAGAAAGUCCUCUUCCCAGGUGUACGUGGAUGUUCCCAGGUUAAGCUGGCGACAGGUGGAGAUCCUCCGGAGAAGAAGACAGAAUCCGUGGUUGGGUGGAAAACCAGCAGAGGAAGGAACCCAGGCAACUCAGCAGGCAGGAAUCAGCUUUCUGAACACAGAAAAUAGAAUUACUGACAAUUCUAGGCUGGUGGCAAAGACAGUUCUACUCCCAGCACUAACUGGAGAUUAGACGACAGUCCAGCUUUGAAUGACGGGUGCCAUCUGCUUUUAUAGAGACGCUCAGAGACCAGUCACUCAGAUCCACCUGCAGCUCAUCUGCUGAUUACAAUGUAGCACACCUGCUGCCAGCUUCACCUAGAACACACCUAGGAGAGAGAGAACAGGAAGCACUACCACAGUCCACAGCCUUAAACUGUGGCUCUGACAAAUAUUUUCUUUAAGAACAUUCACAAAGUUUUUUUGUGAAUGUUCUUAAAGAAUUUUUUUCCACAAAAGAUGGUUGAAAAUUUCCCAAAAAUGUUGGAAAUGUGGACAAGUUUUUUUUUUGCCCCCCACAUUUUUAAACUUUAAAACAGGACAAUUUGACCCGCAGGGCGACUCGGGAGUCAAAUAAAAAUAUCAAAGAUUACAGAUUUGAACAGACAUGAAAUCAGAAUUUCACUCAACUCUUACAGACAAACCAACAGACUGGAUACUGAGGAUGUGGUGUUCAAGCUGCUAUGAAGAAAUCUGAAGAAUGUGGAGACGUGAAGACAAAUAAAAGAGUGGACGGCCAAGAAAAUGGUUUGAGGAGGAGCUGCUUAGAAAUUCUUCUUUGAAAAACUGGAGGAAGUCCAGCAGCUUCAUCUGGAUGCCGAGCUGAUCCGUCAGUUUAGAGGAGUUUGAUCAGGAAUGUCCUCUGAGGAAGCCAAGAAGGCACUUUUAUAGACAGAGAACAGGAAUGGAAGGCUGGAAGAUGCAGAAACUCACAGAGAUUAUCGGGAAGAUCAACGGAGAAGAGCUCUGUGGAGCGAUGAGCCAAAGAUUAACAAUAUCAGUUAAACAUAAUGGAUGGUUUGUCGUUGGUUCAGGCUGCUUUUCUGCUUUUCCCUGAUGGAGAUGAUGUCCAAACUGACUCAAUCAGUACUAUCUAUCUGUCUGUCUGUCUGUCUGUCUGUCUGUCUGUCUGUCUGUCUGUCUGUCUGUCUGUCUGUCUGUCUGUCUGUCUAUCUAUCUAUCUAUCUAUCUAUCUAUCUAUCUGUCUGUGUCUGUCAUUGGUGAAAUCACAUCUGGAUAAACUAACAGCCGAUAAAACAGCGACAUUAAUGGACUUUCCUCCCGAAAGUCUAAACCUGAUUAUUAGAGAAGCUGUGUGAGAUCAUCUGGAGAGAGAAACUGAUAAAAGAUGAUGCUAGUCUAAAGAAGAAUUCUGAAGGGAGCUUUCUGUUCUAUAUACAAGAUUAGUCAAGAAAACUUUGGUUGAUCCAAGAGAGUUCAUGAUGUUCUGAGGAAGGCCAGACUAAACACUGACUUUAGCCUGUAGACGACGUGUUGUUUUGAUGCUAUGCACACAUUUCCUGUAUUUUCUUGUUGUAUCUUAACCCUCCUGUUGUCUUCAUUUACGGGCACCAAAAAAUAUUGUUUCUUUGUCUGAAAACAAUCCAAAAAUUCAGCAAAAAAAUUCCACAAAUUUCUGAAAAUUUGCAAAACCUUCAGGAAGAAAAUUCCAAUAAUUCCUUAAAAGUUUCCCUUAAAAGUUUUAUUUUAAAAAAUCCCCCAAAUUUGGCAAGAAAAUUCUUGUAAAUAUUUUCAAAAAAUGAGUAAAAAUCUUCCAGAAAAAUCCUAAAAAACACUAAAGUGAUUCCAUAUAUAUCAGUAAAACUUCUAAUAUUUUCUGUAAGAACAUUCACAUAAAAAUCAACCAAAAUCCAGUGAAAUUCGCUGGAUUUUGGUUGAUUUUUUGUGAAUGUUCUUAAGAAACAUUUUUCACAUUUCUUUUUUUCCACCCAAAAAAUGUUCAAAGAUUUCCCAAAAAUUUUGAAAAUGUGGACAUCAGAAGUUUCACUGUGAAAAUAUAUAUUUUCUCCACAUUUUCAAACUUUAAAACGGGUCAAUUUUGACCCACAGGACGACACGAGGGUUAAUAAAGAGACUGAGACAUAAAUAUAUAAAUGCUUAUUACUAUCUGCUAAAAUGACAAACAUAAACUAGUCAGUCAAACAUCCAAUGAUUGACCUUUAUUUUUCACCAACACUCUCUAAAUCAUCUCUAAACAGUUUAUCAGCCUUUAUUUUCACAUUAUAAUCAUAUAUUCACAGAGCUACAUCAUUUUUUGUUGUGGUUUUAUUACAGAAAGAACAGAACUGAGCUUAUUUUUAUCUCUGAUCACGGUGAGUUUUAGAUCUAACACAGAAAUGUGAGUUUAAUAUAAACAGUCUCGCUGUACAAACAGUUAAUGAAAUGAUGUGGGAGUAAUCUGCAGAGUAAAUACUGUCCAGCUGUGCUUUAUGGGCUGGUUGCUACAGACCCACGCUGCUUGACAGGGUUUCCUGGUUACAAUUUUAUUGAUUGUAAGCAUGUCGGCCAUAAAAGUCUCUUCCUGGAUCUGUUCUGAGGUUACAGUUACUUUUCGAUCACUAAAAUAAACAUGCAAACUAGCUGCUUAUGAACCUCAAAUUUUGUGGUUUGUAGGGUUUUACAUAUUGCAUGUUGUCUUUUUUUUUUUUUAAAUCAGCAAAAUAAUACCAUUCAUCAGAGACAGAAAUUUUUGAAACAGAAAAAAUCAUUGGAUUUUCAACUUUCUGAGAGUCCUUGAAUCUGUGAUGAGCUGUUCUGAUGGGAAAAAUAAUCACAUCUAAGUGUAAAAAUUACAAUAUUUUAUCGAAAUUACUUUAUUCUACAUGUCCCAUUUAAAAAAAAAAUUAAAAGUCAGUAAUAAGCCACUUUCACUGUGUAAAAAACAACAACAACAACUGAAGUAAUGACUGAUUUACAUGACAAAAAAAAGAAAGUUGUUUUGGGUUGAACUGCAGGCUGUGUCUACAUAGAGCAGUGAUCAGAGAUCCAUAGUAGGUAAAAUCACCAAUUUUUCUAGUGUUGGUAACCUGUGGAGACCUGGAAAAAUACUGAAUAUGCUGAUUCCAUAUUUUUACAAUUUUUAUACAACAAAUAAUCAAAGAAACUCACAUUUCCUCUUUCGCUUGUUUGUGAUUUAUGGCAUUAAAACUUCGCUAAACUGCACAUUUCUGAGUUCUCUCCUCUUCUAGUCAUGGUUGUGGUGUUUCCAUAGAGAUGCAGGACUGAAAAAUGAGUCAACAGGGAGGAAAAAAUGUGACAAGAGCAAAGAAAACACCCAGAAACUGCCUUAAAAAACAACCGAUGUACUGCAGAGUUUCAGUUCAUGCGACCUUCAGUGUGACCUCUUUACCCAAGACGGAGUCACGACCGAAGUUAUUACCGUCUUUCCUUUAAAUAGUUUCACUUCCCUCUGCCUUCCUUCUCAGUCCUCCAGACUCACAGCAGUUCCACUUUUAACUGUAAUCACAUGCAAAGCACAACUCAACAGGAAAAUCUGAAUCUGAGCUCCAUUUAUUUCCACAUUUAGAACCUCCAUCCAGUCAGUCUGCUCACUGAAAGGUCAGCAGUUUGGACAAAUAAAACAGAAGAUGAAUUUAGAUAUCUACAACUAAUGGUUUAGAAGAAGCACUUUGAAUAAAUAAAAACAACACUUAGCACCGUCCUCUUAAAACAACCAUUUAAUCCUGUCUGAGAUGAAGAGUUUAAAUUGAAAGGAGAAUCGUCUUAAAAGACCACAUUGGUGGUUUUUUAAUGUAAUUGCCAGUUUUGUACUAAUUAUGGACCAAAAAAUGGUUUUGUUUGCUGCAAGCAGAGACAUUUUCACAACUCUGUGACUCAAUAUGGUCAUUUUUCUGCGUAAAACCAUUGAAUUGAUUACCUUAGUGGAUAAAUCUGAUUUCAGGGGAGUCGGUUGAAGACUUUAGCUCCCUGAAAACCUGAUUCGUGAAAUUUUGCAGGUCUCUAAAAUAUUUACACAUUGCUACAGCACUUUUGUCAUCACUUUCUAUGUUUUUUGUAUCUCGUCACCAUGGAUAAUGGCACAUUCAGCUGAUAUUGAUUUAUGAAUCAUGCAGGAGAUUGAUUCAUCAGUAAUUCACACAAAAUCAUCAACUUCAUUCUGCAACUAUUACUCAAAUAAACAGCGUUUCUCUCCCUCUUAAUGUGCUUCCACACCUCCAUGGGGCUCUUACUGCUAAUAUUCUUAAAAAUAAUAAUCAAUAAUGAUGAAUAGAACAGCCUCGUAAAAGUCAUACCUGUCAUUUCUAACCACAAAACAGUGAAGCAAAGUGAGUUCCUCCAGAAGCCACAGUUUCUCACACUAAUGAUGACAGUUUGUUGUUGUUUAUUGCAUCAAAAUGUUGCAAAAGGGAGUUUCAAAACAGCCCCUACUGCUCACAGCUGCAUUAUUGAUUCAUCAUAACAGAACUGAACAAAGACUGAGCACUGGUACUUCCUCCUCAAACAGGUUUUAGAUCAUCUCACAUGUUUGGUGAGGAGACUAUGGAAAGGAUUUAGAAAUGUAACCAGAGAAAUAUCUAGAUCAGGGGAUUCAAAUUAAUUUUAGUUCAGGUUCCAGAUUCAUCCCAGUCUGAUCUCCAGUGGACCAGACCAGUAAAACCACAGCAUAAUAACCUAUAAAUAACCACAACUCCUAAUGGGUCCUUUGUUUUAGUGCAAAAAAGUACAUUCUGAAAAUGUUGCCAUUUUAGGAACUAUCUUUUCACAAAACAUUAUGAAUAAAUGGAAAUUGGUUCAGAAAAAUAAAUUCAGUUUCAUCAACAUUCAGUCUCAGUUUAUCAUUUCCACAUUACAACUUCCAGAUCACAGAGUGUCGACAAAGGAACACAACAUUUAGUCAUCUGGAACUGAACCAGAGAGGAUUUUACUUUUAAGACAAAAAAACCCAACAAAAACAAGACAAAAUAUUACAAAAAUGAGAUAUAUAAUGACAAGAGAGAAAUAAGAUGGCAAAAAAUGAGACAAACAACACAAAAAAACAAAAUUCACAAAAAAGUUACAGAGCGACAAAAAAUUGGACAAACAAGACAAGAAAUUACACAAAUCACACAAACACACAACAACAAAAACAAUACACAAAACAAUGAAUAAAGCAAAACACAAAA